UACGUAGGGUGCAAGCGUUAAUCGGAAUUACUGGGCGUAAAGCGUGCGUAGGCGGCUAUGUAAGACAGAUGUGAAAUCCCUGGGCUUAACCUAGGAACUGCGUUUGUGACUGCAUUGCUAGAGUGUGGUAGAGGGAGAUGGAAUUCCGCAUGUAGCAGUGAAAUGCGUAGAUAUGCGGAGGAACACCAAUGGCGAAGGCAAUCUCCUGGACCUGCACUGACGCUCAUGCACGAAAGCGUGGGGAGCAAACAGG
rnacentral:rRNA from 1 species